rnacentral:rRNA from 1 species
AAAUUGAAGAGUUUGAUCAUGGCUCAGAUUGAACGCUGGCGGCAGGCCUAACACAUGCAAGUCGAGCGGUAGCACAGAGAGCUUGCUCUCGGGUGACGAGCGGCGGACGGGUGAGUAAUGUCUGGGAAACUGCCUGAUGGAGGGGGAUAACUACUGGAAACGGUAGCUAAUACCGCAUAACGUCGCAAGACCAAAGUGGGGGACCUUCGGGCCUCAUGCCAUCAGAUGUGCCCAGAUGGGAUUAGCUAGUAGGUGGGGUAAUGGCUCACCUAGGCGACGAUCCCUAGCUGGUCUGAGAGGAUGACCAGCCACACUGGAACUGAGACACGGUCCAGACUCCUACGGGAGGCAGCAGUGGGGAAUAUUGCACAAUGGGCGCAAGCCUGAUGCAGCCAUGCCGCGUGUGUGAAGAAGGCCUUCGGGUUGUAAAGCACUUUCAGCGGGGAGGAAGGCGAUAAGGUUAAUAACCUUGUCGAUUGACGUUACCCGCAGAAGAAGCACCGGCUAACUCCGUGCCAGCAGCCGCGGUAAUACGGAGGGUGCAAGCGUUAAUCGGAAUUACUGGGCGUAAAGCGCACGCAGGCGGUCUGUCAAGUCGGAUGUGAAAUCCCCGGGCUUAACCUGGGAACUGCAUUCGAAACUGGCAGGCUAGAGUCUUGUAGAGGGGGGUAGAAUUCCAGGUGUAGCGGUGAAAUGCGUAGAGAUCUGGAGGAAUACCGGUGGCGAAGGCGGCCCCCUGGACAAAGACUGACGCUCAGGUGCGAAAGCGUGGGGAGCAAACAGGAUUAGAUACCCUGGUAGUCCACGCCGUAAACGAUGUCGAUUUGGAGGUUGUGCCCUUGAGGCGUGGCUUCCGGAGCUAACGCGUUAAAUCGACCGCCUGGGGAGUACGGCCGCAAGGUUAAAACUCAAAUGAAUUGACGGGGGCCCGCACAAGCGGUGGAGCAUGUGGUUUAAUUCGAUGCAACGCGAAGAACCUUACCUGGUCUUGACAUCCACAGAACUUUCCAGAGAUGGAUUGGUGCCUUCGGGAACUGUGAGACAGGUGCUGCAUGGCUGUCGUCAGCUCGUGUUGUGAAAUGUUGGGUUAAGUCCCGCAACGAGCGCAACCCUUAUCCUUUGUUGCCAGCGGUUCGGCCGGGAACUCAAAGGAGACUGCCAGUGAUAAACUGGAGGAAGGUGGGGAUGACGUCAAGUCAUCAUGGCCCUUACGACCAGGGCUACACACGUGCUACAAUGGCAUAUACAAAGAGAAGCGACCUCGCGAGAGCAAGCGGACCUCAUAAAGUAUGUCGUAGUCCGGAUUGGAGUCUGCAACUCGACUCCAUGAAGUCGGAAUCGCUAGUAAUCGUAGAUCAGAAUGCUACGGUGAAUACGUUCCCGGGCCUUGUACACACCGCCCGUCACACCAUGGGAGUGGGUUGCAAAAGAAGUAGGUAGCUUAACCUUCGGGAGGGCGCUUACCACUUUGUGAUUCAUGACUGGGGUGAAGUCGUAACAAGGUAACCGUAGGGGAACCUGCGGUUGGAUCACCUCCUUA